rnacentral:tRNA from 1 species
AGCCUUGAGGUGUAUUACAUUUUAGAUUGCAAAUCUAAGGAAGCAGAUUAGUUGUCUGCCGGGGCUU